rnacentral:rRNA from 1 species
AUUGAACGCUGGCGGCAUGCCUUACACAUGCAAGUCGAACGGCAGCACGGGUGCUUGCCCCUGGUGGCGAGUGGCGAACGGGUGAGUAAUACAUCGGAACAUGUCCUGUAGUGGGGAUAGCCCGGCGAAAGCCGGAUUAAUACCGCAUACGAUCUACGGAUGAAAGCGGGGGACCUUCGGGCCUCGCGCUAUAGGGUUGGCCGAUGGCUGAUUAGCUAGUUGGUGGGGUAAAGGCCUACCAAGGCGACGAUCAGUAGCUGGUCUGAGAGGACGACCAGCCACACUGGGACUGAGACACGGCCCAGACUCCUACGGGAGGCAGCAGUGGGGAAUUUUGGACAAUGGGCGAAAGCCUGAUCCAGCAAUGCCGCGUGUGUGAAGAAGGCCUUCGGGUUGUAAAGCACUUUUGUCCGGAAAGAAAUCCUUGGCCCUAAUACGGUCGGGGGAUGACGGUACCGGAAGAAUAAGCACCGGCUAACUACGUG